GACGAACGCUGGCGGCGUGCUUAACACAUGCGAGUCGAACGAAGAGCGAUGGAAGCUUGCUUCUAUCAAUCUUAGUGGCGAACGGGUGAGUAACGCGUAAUCAACCUGCCCUUCAGAGGGGGACAACAGUUGGAAACGACUGCUAAUACCGCAUACGAUCUAAUCUCGGCAUCGAGGAUAGAUGAAAGGUGGCCUCUACAUGUAAGCUAUCACUGAAGGAGGGGAUUGCGUCUGAUUAGCUAGUUGGAGGGGUAACGGCCCACCAAGGCGAUGAUCAGUAGCCGGUCUGAGAGGAUGAACGGCCACAUUGGGACUGAGACACGGCCCAGACUCCUACGGGAGGCAGCAGUGGGGAAUCUUCCGCAAUGGACGAGAGUCUGACGGAGCAACGCCGCGUGAGCGAUGACGGCCUUCGGGUUGUAAAGCUCUGUUAAUCGGGACGAAAGGCCUUCUUGCGAAUAGUGAGAAGGAUUGACGGUACCGGAAUAGAAAGCCACGGCUAACUACGUG
rnacentral:rRNA from 1 species